rnacentral:rRNA from 1 species
UACGUAGGGGGCUAGCGUUGUCCGGAAUCAUUGGGCGUAAAGCGCGUGUAGGCGGUCCGGUAAGUCCGCUGUGAAAGUCGAGGGCUCAACCCUCGAAUGCCGGUGGAUACUGUCGGGCUUGAGUACGGGAGAGGCGAGUGGAAUUCCUGGUGUAGCGGUGAAAUGCGCAGAUAUCGGGAAGAACACCCGUGGCGAAGGCGGUUCUCUGGGACGGUACUGACGCUGAGGCGCGAAGGCGUGGGGAGCGAACAGG